rnacentral:rRNA from 1 species
AUGGUUGGCAUCUGCAGGUUGCUGCAGCCCUCUGUAUAUCCCCCCAGCUGCUUAUACUGGUCACCAUUUAUAACUGCUAAGUGCCAGAAGGAUAAUACUUUGGAACCAGCGACCUCUGGUCUCGGUGUUACCGCAGGAAACCUGUGCUGCUCCCUGGCUGUAGCAGGGGUGUCGAGACAAUAUAUUUUGCUGGUUCCAGCGCCAUCACAUCAAACUUGUGCUGCUGCUGCUUCCUGGCUGGCUGUAGCACGGGCAUGGAGCAUCAAGAGAUGGCUUCACCUAAUUUUGUGUCCCCUCCGAUGGAGAUGCCAAAUCAUCAAGAAUUCAGGUGAUAGUACGCUGUCUUCUGCUGUGAUGAUCGAUGUCCAUAUCAGGAGGAUUCCAGACGGCGAAAACCCAGCCCCAAGACCUUGA